UGCUACUUGUCUCGAUGCGUGCCGCGCGCCUCAGAACGAGGACCGACGCCCGAGCGGUGGCCCUGGCCGGUGAAGACCGGCGUCCGAGCGGCGGCCCUGGCAGGUGAAGACAGGCGCCACGAGCGGCGGCCCUGAUCCCGUGCGCCGCCGCCAACCCCAACCUCCCGUCGAUCGCUCCACGGCCAAAAGUCCGAUGAUGGUGCUCCACCUCCCAAGGACCAGUUUAACCACUACAGUUCGUCACCACUCACCACUACCCGUCCUCUUCCACACGGUUCGUCCACCGCCGGUGCUCCACCUCCCGAAGACCUGCCCACUUCUGGUUCUCCACAUCGCAGCUGAAGGUGAGCUACCCCACCUCUCUGUAAACCUGUGAUUCCCAUGAAAAUAAGCACUCCUGCAGAAUGUGUUUUGUAGGCAAUACAUGCCCUUGCUUUUUGUGUCAAAUGUUAGCACUUGGAGACAACAAAUAGAACACUGUAUUUGUGCUUGUUUUGUGUCAAAUGUUAGCAGCUUCAAUACUUCAAUACUGCAUACACAGUAAUGCAAUUUGUGCUUGUUUCCUGAAACUAGAUAUAUAAAUGGUGUAUAUUUAUGUUGUGAUUUGAUCAGGUCAAUGUUGUUUGACAGACUAAUGUCCUCUUUUUUAGAUGUUUUCUGAACAUGAUGAGGAACUGAAUGAGAAUGAAGAUGCAUUUAUGAGUGUAGAGGCAGAUGCAGAAGCAGGAGACAAAUCCGUCUUACAUAGUAUUAUUGACGAUGAAGUUGUCGAAGGUGCCAAUCUAGAAGCUGCUCAAGAUGACAAGCCAAUUGAAGCUGAAUCAUGAAUCUUCUUACUUUGUGUCAUAUGAAUCUUGUUACUUGCUAUCAAAUGUAAACAUGUACUGGUACUGUGUUACUUGUUGUUGCAUAUAAACAUGUAUUGGUACUUUCUACCCUCAAAUAUAAACAUGUAUUGGUACUUUCUGUCCCAUGCUCUGUCCUCCUCUGCUCUGUUCAAUUCCCCUAUCUUAUAAACUUCAGUUUUUUGAACAGCAUGGGUUCAGACAGUAGGAUGACAACCCAACAUCUCAAUUCCUACUUGUAUUGCUGGGAGAGUAUGGAAGCU
rnacentral:lncRNA from 1 species